AAGACCUCGCGCUAUUGGAGCGGCCGAUGUCCGAUUAGCUAGUUGGUGAGGUAAUGGCCCACCAAGGCAACGAUCGGUAGCUGGUCUGAGAGGGUGAUCAGCCACACUGGGACUGAGACACGGCCCAGACUCCUACGGGAGGCAGCAGUGGGGAAUUUUGGACAAUGGGCGCAAGCCUGAUCCAGCCAUGCCGCGUGAGUGAAGAAGGCCUUCGGGUUGUAAAGCUCUUUCAGCAGGGAAGAAACGGUUACGGCCAAUACCCGUGACUAAUGACGGUACCUGCAGAAGAAGCACCGGCUAACUACGUGCCAGCAGCCGCGGUAAUACGUAGGGUGCGAGCGUUAAUCGGAAUUACUGGGCGUAAAGCGUGCGCAGGCGGUUUUGCAAGUCAGAUGUGAAAGCCCCGGGCUCAACCUGGGAAUU
rnacentral:rRNA from 1 species